GAGGCAAGGCGAGGUGAGGCGAGGCAAAGGUGGGGGAAAGGCGAGGUGAGGCGGGGCGAGACGAGACAAGGUGAGGGAUGGCGAUGCAAGGCAAAGGCGAAGCGAGGCGAGGAGAAGCGGGGUGUAGCGAGGCAAGGCGGGGCGUAGCGGGGUGAGGUUAGAUGAGGAAAAGGUGAGGCAAGGCGAAGAAGGCAGGGCAAGGCGAGGCGAGGCGAGGUGAGGCGAGGCGAGGCGGGGCAAAGGCAAGGCUAAGGCGAGGUAAGGUGAGGCGUGGCAGGGCGAGACGAGGUGAGGGGUGGCGAGGCAAGGCAAAGGUGAGGCGAGGCGUUGCAAAGUGAGGGAAAGGCGAGGCGAGGUGAAGUGUUGCAAAGUGAGAGAAAAGCGAGCCGAGGCGUGACGAGGCGAGGCGAGCUGUGGCGAUGCAAGUAGAGGCGAGGCAAGGCAAGGUGAGGUGAGGCGAGGCGAGGCGAGGUGAGG
ensembl:lncRNA